rnacentral:rRNA from 1 species
CCUACGGGUGGCAGCAGUGAGGAAUAUUGGUCAAUGGGCGGAAGCCUGACCCAGCCAAGUCGCGUGAGGGACUAAGGCCCUACGGGUCGUAAACCUCUUUUGCCGGGGAUCAGUUCCCAGCUCGCGACCUGGGAGGGAUCGUACCCGGAGAAAAAGCAUGGGCUAACUCCGUGCAAGCCGCCGCGGUAAUAGGGAGGUUGCGAGGGUUCUCGGGAUUUAUUGGGUUUACAGGGUGCGUAGGCGGGCCUUAAGUCAGGCGGGAAAUUUGCGGGCCUCAACCCCGCGGAGCCGUCGGAACCGGAGGCCUUGAGUACCGGAGAGGUACGCGGAAUGCGUGGUGUAGCGGUGAAAUGCGUAGAUAUAACGCAGAACCCCAAUGGCGAAGGCAGCGUACCGGCCGGUCACUGACGCUGAGGUACGAAAGCGCGGGUAUCGAACAGGAUUAGAUACCCUAGUAGUC